AUUGAACGCUGGCGGCAUGCCUUACACAUGCAAGUCGAACGGUAACAGGUCUUCGGAUGCUGACGAGUGGCGAACGGGUGAGUAAUACAUCGGAACGUGCCUAGUAGUGGGGGAUAACUACUCGAAAGAGUGGCUAAUACCGCAUGAGAUCUACGGAUGAAAGCAGGGGAUCGCAAGACCUUGUGCUACUAGAGCGGCCGAUGGCAGAUUAGGUAGUUGGUGGGAUAAAAGCUUACCAAGCCGACGAUCUGUAGCUGGUCUGAGAGGACGAUCAGCCGCAGUGGGACUGAGACACGGCACAGACUCCUACGGGAGGAAGCAGUGGGGAAUUUUGGACAAUGGGCGGAAGCCUGAUCCAGCAAUGCCGCGUGCAGGAUGAAGGCCUUCGGGUUGUAAACUGCUUUUGUACGGAACGAAAAGCCCCGGGUUAAUACCCUGGGGUCAUGACGGUACCGUAAGAAUAAGCACCGGCUAACUACGUGCCAGCAGCCGCAGUAA
rnacentral:rRNA from 1 species